CUGGCUCAGAUUGAACGCUGGCGGCAUGCCUUACACAUGCAAGUCGAACGGCAGCACGGGAGCAAUCCUGGUGGCGAGUGGCGAACGGGUGAGUAAUAUAUCGGAACGUGCCCAGUCGUGGGGGAUAACGUAGAGAAAUUUACGCUAAUACCGCAUACGAUCUACGGAUGAAAGCGGGGGACUCGCAAGAGCCUCGCGCGACUGGAGCGGCUGAUAUCAGAUUAGGUUGUUGGUGAGGUAAAAGCUCACCAAGCCGACGAUCUGUAGCUGGUUUGAGAGAACGACCAGCCACACUGGGACUGAGACACGGCCCAGACUCCUACGGGAGGCAGCAGUGGGGAAUUUUGGACAAUGGGCGCAAGCCUGAUCCAGCAAUGCCGCGUGCAGGAAGAAGGCCUUCGGGUUGUAAACUGCUUUUGUACGGAACGAAAAGGUCCUUUCUAAUACAAGGGGCUAAUGACGGUACCGUAAGAAUAAGCACCGGCUAACUACGUGCCAGCAGCCGCGGUAAUACGUAGGGUGCGAGCGUUAAUCGGAAUUACUGGGCGUAAAGCGUGCGCAGGCGGUUAUGUAAGACAGUUGUGAAAUCCCCGGGCUCAACCUGGGAAUUGC
rnacentral:rRNA from 1 species